rnacentral:lncRNA from 1 species
CAGAGUCAAGUACUUGGGCCCACUCUCUGGCGAGCCCCCAAGCUACUUGACUGGUGAGUUCCCUGGUGACUACGGUUGGGACACUGCUGGGCUUUCAGCUGACCCAGAAACCUUUGCCAAGAACCGUGAACUCGAAGUCAUCCACUGCAGAUGGGCCAUGUUGGGAGCUCUUGGAUGCGUCUUCCCGGAGCUCUUGGCCCGCAACGGAGUCAAGUUCGGUGAGGCCGUGUGGUUCAAGGCGGGGGCCCAGAUCUUCAGCGAGGGCGGGCUUGACUACUUGGGGAACCCAAGCCUGAUCCACGCUCAGAGCAUCUUGGCCAUCUGGGCUUGCCAGGUGGUCUUGAUGGGAGCCGUUGAGGGUUACAGAAUUGCUGGAGGGCCGCUCGGUGAAGUGACUGACCCAUUGUACCCAGGUGGCAGCUUUGAUCCAUUGGGUUUGGCUGAUGACCCGGAGGCUUUUGCUGAGCUCAAGGUUAAGGAAAUCAAGAAUGGAAGGUUGGCUAUGUUCUCCAUGUUUGGUUUCUUCGUUCAGGCCAUUGUCACCGGCAAGGGACCGUUAGAGAACUUGGCCGACCACUUGGCUGACCCUGUCAAUAACAAUGCCUGGGCCUACGCCACCAACUUUGUCCCCGGAAAGUGAGCUUCGGUUGAUAAGAGUUUUUCUCUUUUCGGUUUCUUGGAUAUCAUGUAAAUCUGUUGUGAGCUCAUGGAAGCUUUAAUUUGAGUUGUGAUUAUUUAUAAAAUGCUUCAAUUUGAUCUUGUUCUGCUUUUUGUUCUUUUAUUUUUUUCGGUGCUUGUGAAAUCAAUGGUGAUAACGCGAAAGAGAAUCGCAAGAUUAUAUAAAAAAAAAAAAAACCGAGGAAGGUACCACUCGUGACCUUUCUUUAAAUCAGUAAGUGUCCUUAGAGGCGAUUUUGAAGGGUAACGGGCUUCAGGUGACAGAGAUUUCCGGAAAAAUAAAGAAUUUAGGGAAAGUCAUAAACAGAAAACGAUAAGUUACAAAACAGAAACAAUACAUUUGCUAAUAAACAGUGAGUUAUCCAGUACAUGUUGCUAUAUCUCACUCAUGAUUGAGAGAAGCAUGUAUGCUGUACAUAAUUUUACAUUAAUGACUCUCUUCCUUUUUUUACUAAGUACAUCAAUGAAUCUUUGUAUCUGUAUAAAAGUAUAAAUCUAGCUCCUCAGUGAAAGUAAGAAUUCCAUGAGAAUCAUAAUUUACAUAAGCUGCAACCUAGGUUUUCAUUUACCCAAAAAAUGGAAAAAAAAAAAAAAAAAUGAAGGAUGGCCUGUAAAAUAUGGCAAAGGUGUGAAGUAGAUAGAACCCACCAAUGCAGCUUCUACAUCCAAUAAAAAAAUCUGAAACCUCUGAUCAGCAUCUGAAACCAUUGCUUCACCUGCUGCAUCUAAUGAUCAAACCAACAACUGUCUGUCUGCUGGUGGGAUUUGCAUGGAAAAUCUGUAUGAGACGCUGAGGGUAAACUAUUCUACAGGGCAGCUAGCUUAAGCACGACUUGCAGCUGCCCUUGCUCUGGCCACAGAUUUUGCAUAAAGAUCCUCAUACUGUGAUGCCGAAAAUUCCCAACUCCAAUCUAUACUCAUGACCUUUUGAACAAGCUGAUGCCAACUCUCUGGGUUGUUUCUGUAGCGACUAAUUGCACGCUCCAAACCACUAUUGACUCCCUGUCAAGUUUCAACAAUUUUAGGAAAAAUUAGAAUGACAAACAACCCAGGAACAAUAUGACCAAUUGCAAUUGGACAAGAACAAACAUGGAGUUUCUAUAAAAGCAAUGCUAGAAGAAAUAUGAUACACUAGUGGCCAAAGAACCAAAAAAAAAAAAAAAUCCAAUGCCACUUUUAUAUAAACUAAUAAGCAUUCCAUUUACCUGCUCAUCAGGAUUCAAAAAAGUAUAUCCAUUUCUGAACUGGAGAGGUAUUGUGUCAUCAUCAACAUCAAAUACACUACAGAAGAAAAUUUGUGAAAGCUAAGAAUUCUCCAAUUAGUAUAGCUUAUAUACCUGAUAUCAGUCAAUCAGUGAUUUACCUGUCGUUCAGACCUCCAGUUUUCCUUGCAACAGGUAGAGGUGGGCAAAACCGGGUUCGGGUCGGGUUCGGAUCAACCCGAUCGGAUUUCGGGUUGUUCGGGUUUAACAAAAAUUAAUCCGAAUACAACCCGAACUUCCCACCCGACCCGAUCCGAUCCGAUCCGAUAUAUAUUCGGAUCGGGUCGGGUUGUGAAUUUAGGUUGAAAUCGGGUAGGAUCGGGUUGGCCAGUUUCCUUGAUUUUGUUACAACCAUUUAAAAACACAUAAUUACAACAAUUAAAUACUAAAUAUUAAUUGUUUAAUUUAACCAUAUACACCAUCAAUUCAAAUCUUAAAAAAAAAAAGCUUAAAAAAAGCGUGAAAACUCAAGAUUCAAAGUCAAAGGUGAGAAGCUCGGGUUGAAGGAUUGGAGCAGCAGAAGCACCUUGCAGCAGAUCCGCGGCACUUGUAGUAGAUCGGUGGCCGCGGCACUUGUAGCAACAGACCGACGGAUGCGUAGCAGCAGAUUGGCGGCACUUGCAGCAAAUCGGGCAUGGAGACGCGCGGCAAAUCGGCCAUGGAGAUGCGGGUGAGGCUGUGACUUGUGCGGCGCCCUCCGUUGGCAGCUUGGCGUUGGCCCAACGCCGUUGGGGGUGACUGUGUAUGUGUUUUGUGUAGUGAGAUUGGGGAUUGUGUAAUGAGAUUGGGGAUUGAGGAGGGUUGUGAGUGUUUGUGUAAAGUAACCGUGUAUUGUGAAAAUGGGAAUUGUGAUUUGUGUGUGCGGCGUGUGUGUGGCUGUUUGCUUUAGGUUUAGGUUUUUUUUUUUUUUAUAGCAACCCGAUCGGGUUUCGGAUCGGACCCGAUCCGAUCAUUACCUGAUCGGGUUUCAUUGUUUUGAUCCGAUCGGGUUUUCUUCAUAACCCGAUCCGAUCCGAAUCCGAAAUUUUCGGGUCGGGUCGGGUAAUUUGCCCACCCCUAGCAACAGGUAUAGUACCAUAUCUCAUUGCUAUCAUCUGCAGAAAAUCAUCAAAUGUUUAAGACAAAUAUAAUCAUAAUAAUAUGAACAAUUGAAUUUGUUAUUUAGAUUCACACUUGAUUCAUAUGCAUGCAAAACAGAGGCAUUUGGCUAAUAUCUAGAUUACUGCAUUAAGUCGAACCACAGAUCUUAAGCUAUGUCAUCUAUACAGAGGUAGAUUUCAACAAAAUAAGCUUUCUUUUCAAGGUUUCAAUAUUCUGUAGGAGGUAUAAGCUUUAGCCACAUCCAUCUAUUUCUUCAUUUCUUACGACUGAAUUCACUGUUCAAGAAGAAUUACCUGUGUAAGGCCACAAGGCUCAAAGAUAGAUGGGAUAAUGAAAAUGUCUGAUGCAGCAUAAAUGGAGUGGGAAAUAGACUCAUCGUACUUCAAUAUCAGCCAAAUGUGAUCCUGAUUUUGAAAAUGAUUUGCAAUGCCCUCGAAUUCUCUCUACAGAGAAAAUAAUUAUCAUUUAAAGAAGUAAAUUGAAUGAUAAAAUAAUUAUCAUUUAAAGAAAUAAUUAUCACUGAAAUCACAAGAGUCAGCACAUUGAAUGAUAAAGUUGAAAGUAAGGAAGACUUCAAUUCAGCUCAAAAUGGAAACCAGUAGCUACAAUCAGAAAGAUCAAAGCAGCCAUCAGCUGGCAGUACAACCAAGCAAUAACUACUAAAAGUUACAAAUAAUGAAUAUAUCACAUAUAUUCAAAUCUAAACAUAAGUACAGAACAGUACUAGGAUCAUCAGAUGCCAUCACGAUGCGUAAUCACCAGUAAUCAUAGCAUGAUGCACACCAACACUUUCAAACACAAAAACUAAAGGGAAAAAAUUUGAGAAAUGGGGAAAGAAUGACACUAGCACCAGACUUCAAUAUGAUGUAACCAAGGUUCACAAUUGUUGUUUACAGUAAGAUCCCCUCCUUGCCCAAACUUUAUAUAUAAAUUGCAAAUAUUGAAUAUGUGCCGAGUGGUUAAAUAAUAUUUGUAUAAUUAGAACAAGAUGCCGAGUGGUUAAAAUUAUUCUCUCACAACUGUGAGGGUAGUAGGGUAGUGGUUCGAACUCUCCUAAAAAUAUUGUGGAAAUUUAUUUUUUUUAAAAUUUGGAUAGAGAAAUUUUUCUCUCUUUUAUAUCAUAUAAAUUAUAAUUUGAGUAAUAAUAUUGUGUAAUUUUUUUUUAAAAAAAGAACAUGAUGAACAACAAUGUUAUUAAACAAUAAUGGAUGGCGUUAUCGGAUGGCAGAAGUGGCAAUGCAUUAUUAGAAGGAGAUACGAUCUCCAAACCCGUGAAUUGGGUGAUGCAUUGCCGUAAAAAUCCGGUGAGUGGUUCUGAGUGUGCCAAGUAGGCAUAGGAAUCACACUUUCAAAAUAUUACCAGCCAAUGGGGAGCGAGAUAUAGAUCUCCUAAGAUAAGGACUCUUUCCUCUAAUCCAUAUUUAUACAAAGCCCACCAAGCCCAUCCACGACACCCAACAGCUUCUCUUGCUUGCACACUUCUGCUUCUCCAUUAAAUUCCGCAAUGGCAACCUCAACAAUGGCUCUCUCCUCAUCAUUCGUCGGCAAGGCUGUGAACCUUGCCCCUUCAGGCAAGGAGCUAAGCAAUGGUGGCCGCAUCUCCAUGCGUAAAACCGGGAGCAAGUCUGUUUCUUCAGGUAGCCCGUGGUACGGCCCGGACAGAGUCAAGUACUUGGGCCCAUUCUCUGGCGAGCCCCCAAGCUACUUGACCGGUGAGUUCCCUGGCGACUACGGUUGGGACACAGCCGGGCUUUCAGCUGACCCAGAAACCUUUGCCAAGAACCGUGAACUCGAAGUCAUCCACUGCAGAUGGGCCAUGUUGGGAGCUCUUGGAUGCGUCUUCCCGGAGCUCUUGGCCCGCAACGGAGUCAAGUUCGGUGAGGCCGUGUGGUUCAAGGCGGGAG